UAGUGGAGCCUGGCUAUUUUUAGCUGGGCCUCGGGCGCGAGCCCGCCGCGUGAGGGGGCGCCCUGACCCUGCCAAGAGUGCGGAGGGGGCGGGGGCGGAGUCGCCAUCUUGGACCCGGCUCGUCCCCGUCUAGUGACCGGCGGCGCUGGGCAAGGCUCUGCGCAGGGGGUCGGGAAGCACAAAGAAGUUAAGUAACUUGCCCAGGUUCACACCAAGAUUUGAAGCCAGGUAGUCUUACUGCAGAGCGUAUGUGCUUAGCCAUCUCCAAUGCUGGCCUCAUGCUCAUUCGUUUGUAAGUAACCUGUUCUUUCUUUUUGAAAGUUUAUAUUUUUCUUUAUUAAACUUCAGAACUUUUGCCAGGAUAUAUCUAAGCUGUAUGCCUUUUUUCAUUUAUCCUGCCUGGCACACAGUGAGUGCUUUUGAUCUAAGAACUCUAGUCUCCUCCUGAGGGAAGUUUUCUUGCACUAUGUUUUGAUUAUUGCUUUCUCCACUGUGAUCCCUCUUGAGUUUCUUUUAUUUGCAAUGAGGGCUCCUAGAUCUGCCCCCCAUUUCUCUUUCCUUUUCAUUCAGGAAUUCCAUUUCUUUUAUUUUUGAUUUGGAUAUGUGAUAACUCAUUCACUUGCUUUUCCAGAUAACAAGUUUGUUCUUUUAAGGGUUGGUUCUACUGUUUAAUUCCUCAGUUGAAAUUUGAAGUUUAUAAAUUGUUCAAAGAAUUUCUCAGUCUAUUAUGUUUAUCCAUAUUAAAAUAUCAUAAUCAAGUAAACAAGGUUUAUUUGAGAUGUGUUAAGGCUGUUUCAACAUUAGGAAAUAUUAAUUUAAUGUAUCACUUUAAUAGAUCAGAAGAAGAAAAAUUAGGAUUAUUUCCCCAGAUAUUACAAUGGUAUUUGAUAAAUCAGUAUUCAUUCAUAAUAAAAUGAAGAAAUAAAAAACAGUUCUUGGUAACCCAGGAGAUGAAAGAUAUUUUCUAAUAGCCAUUGUCGUACUUAACAUUGAAAUAACCUAAGGGAUAUUUCCUAAGUGUAUUCUCUGAACUGUGGGUUUUUAAUUUAAAAUUUUGUUUUUAUUUCAUUGAUGUAUAUUUGUAUCCUUUUACCAAUACCACGUUGUCUUAAGUGCUUAGUUUUAUAUUAAGUACAGAAAUCAGGUAAUGUGAAUUCUCCUUCCUGUUUCUCUUUUUCAGAGCUGUUCCACUCAUUCUAGGUCCUCCGCUUUUCCAUAUAAAGUUUAGAAUCAGUCUGCCAAAUUCUACCAAAAACUAUGCUGGAAUUAUUUUUGAGAUUGCAUUGAAUAUGUAGUUCAAUUUGGAGAAGACUUGAUAUUCUAACAAUAUUGAGUCUUCCAAUCCAAGAACAUGUUACAUAGUGCCAGUUUUACUUAGGUCUUUUUUAUUUAUCUCUUUAGUUUUGUUUUUUUUUUUUUUAAAGCAUACAUAUUUUGCAUGUAUUUUGUUAGCUCUAUCUCAUAUUCUGUUGCUAUUUUACAUGAUACUUUUUUAAAUCAAGCUUUUAAUUUUAAUUCCAGUAUGGUUUAACAUAUAGUCUUAUAUUAGUCUCAGGUGUACAAUAUAGUGAUUCAACACUUCCGUACAACACCUAGUGCCUGUCACAAGUGUACUCCUUAAUCCCCAUUGCCUAUUUCACCUGUCCCCCCGCCCAUCUUCCCUCUGGUAACUACCAGUAUGUUCUCUAUAGUUAAGAGUCUAUUGCGUGGUUUGCCCCCUUUUCUCUUUUUUUCCUUUGCUUGUUUGUUUUGUUUCUUAAAUUCCACAUAUGAAUGAGAUCAUAUGGUAUUUGUCUUUCUCUGACUUAUUUUGCUGAGCAUUAUACUCUGUGGCUUCAUCCAUGUUGUUGCAAAUGGCAAGAUUUAAUUCGUUUUUAUGGCUAAAUAAUAUUCCAUUUUAUGUAUGUAUGUGUGCAUACACACACACACGUACACACAUAUAUAUACACACCAUAUUUUCUGUAUCCAUCUAUGAAUGGGCACUUGGGCUGCUUCCAUAAUUUGGCUGUUGUAAAUAAUGCUUCUAUAAAUAUAGAGGUGCAUGUAUCUCUUUGAAUUAGUGUUUUUGUAUUUUUUUUGGUAAAUACCCAGUAAUGCAAUUGUUGAAUUGUAGGGUAGUUCUGUUUUUAACUUUUUGAGGAACCUUCAUACUGUUUUCCACAGUGGCUGUCCCCAUUCACAUUUCUACCAACAUGCACAAGGGUUCCCCUUUCCCCACAUCCUCACCAAUGCUUGUUUUUUCUCAUGUUUUUGAUUUUAGCCAUUUUGACAGGUGUGAGGUGAUAUCUCAUAGUUUUGAUUUGCGUUUCCCUGAUGAUGAAUGAUGUUGAGCAUCUUUUCGUGUAUGUGUUUGUUGGCCAUCUGGAUGUCUUCUUUGGAGAAAUGUCUGUUCAUGUCUUCUGCCUAUAUAUAGAUUUUUUAAGUUUAUGUAUUUGAGAGAGACAGAGGUAGCACAAGCAGGGAAGGGGAAGAGAGAGAGGGAGAGAGAAUCCCAAGCAGCUCUGUAGCGCAGAGCCUGACAUGGGGCUCAAACUCAUGAAACCUUGAGAUCAUGACCUGAGCUGGAACCAAGAAUUGGACGCUUAACUGACUGAACCACAAAGGUACCCCUCUGCUCAUUUUUUAAAUUGGAUUGUUUGUUUUUUUGGGUGUUGAGUUGUAUCAGUUCUUUAUAUAUUUUGGGUACUAACCUUUUUUUGGAUAUGUCAUUUGCAAAUGUCUUCUUGCAUUCAGUAGGUUGCCUUUUAGUUUUGUUGAUUGUUUCCUUUGUUGUGCAGCUUUUUAUUUUGAUGCAGUACCUGUAGUUUACUUUUGCUUUUGUUUCCCUUGCCUCAGGAGACAUAUCUAGAAAAAUGUUGCUAUGACUGAUAUCAGAGAAAUUACUGCCUGUGUUUUCUUCUAGGAUUUUAUGGUUUCAGGUUCCACAUUUAGGUUUUUAAUCCAUUUUGAGUUUGUUUAUUUAUUAAAAAAAUUUUUUAACGUUUAAUCAUUUUUGAGAGACAGAAAGAAUGAGUAUGAGCAGGGGAGGGGCAGAGAGAGAGGCAGACACAGAAUCUGAAGCAGGCUCCAGGCCCUGAGCUGUCAGCACAGAGCACAACGUGGGGCUCGAGCCCAUGAACUGUGAGAUCACAAUCUGAGCCGAAGUCAGACACUUAACCGACUGAGCCACCCAGGUGCUCCAGUUUUGAGUUUAUUUUUGUGUAUGGUAUAAGAAAGUGGUCUGGUUUCUUUCUUUUUCAUGUAGCUGUCCAGUGUUCCUAACACCAUUUGUUGAAGAGAUUGUCCUUUUCCCUUUGGAUAUUUUUUCCUGCUUUAUCAAAGAUAAAUUGAUGUUACAGUUGUGGGUUUAUGUUUGUGUUUUCUAUCAUGUUCCAUUGAGCUAUGUGUCUAUUCUGUUUUGGUUACUACAGAUUUGUAAUAUUUUGUGAAGUCUGGAAUAGUGAUACCUUCAGUUUUGUUUUUCUUUUUCAGGAUUGCUUUGGUUAUUUGGGGUCUUUUGUGGUUCCGUACAAAUUUUAGGAUUGUUUGAUUUAGUUUUGUGAAAAAUACUGUUGGUAUUUUGAUAGGAAUUGCAUUAAAUGUGUAUAUUGCCCUGGGUAACAUAGACAUUUUAAUAAUAUUUGUUUUUUCAAUCCAUGAGCAUGGAUGUCUUUCCAUUUCUUUGUGUCAUCUUCAGUUUCUUUCAUCAGUGUUUUAAAAUUUUCAGAGUACAGGUCUUUCACCUCUUUGGUAACUUUAUUCCCAAGUAUUUUGUUAUUUUUGGUGCAAUUGUAAAUGGGAUUGUUUUCUUGAUUCCUCUUUCUGCUCUUCCUUAUUAGUGUAUAGGGAUCUGGAGUUUUAUUAAAAAAAAGGUAUUUUAGUAUGUUGGUUACAAAAAGGCAACAUAUUUUAACAAACACCAACAUUUCAACACCUUAAUACAAUAAGAACUUAUUUCUCCUUCAUGUAAUACUCCCAUGUGGAUGUUUCUGGUUGAUAAACAGUUUUUCUCUGUAUGGAUUCAGGGACUCAGUUUCCUUGCAUCAUGUGGCUCUGCCAUUUCCUAAGGCCUUGACAUCUUCUCUUUCCAACUGGCAGAAAGGCAAGGAUAUGGUGGAGAAUGCACACUCUCUUCUCAAUUACUUUGGUCUUGACACAAUGCACAUCAUUUCUGUUCACAUUCUUACAUUCCAUAGGCCAGAUAGGUGGUCUCACCUAUCUGUAAGGUGUGUUUGUAUAUUGGUAGUGGGGCGGGGGGCAUGGGAGAAUGGGAAAUAGUAUCACCUGGGCAGCCACACGUAAGGGAAAGGAAUAGACGUUCUCAUUUGUAAUUGGCAAGAUGAUACCUCUGAAUAGAAGACACUGUGGUAAUUAAUAUCUUUCAAAUUUUAAACUAUACAUAUCCUUUGAACUUAAAACUCCACUUCUAGCAGUUUUUACUGAAUAUAUAUUUACAAAUGUGUACCUAUUUACAUUUUAAGGACACAUCUAGUAACGUUGUAGUAGCAAAAUAUUAGAAAUAUCCUGAAUGUCCAUCAAAGGGGACUGGAUGGGGGCGCCUGGGUGGCUCAGUCAGUUAAGCGUCCAACUUCAGCUCAGGUCACGAUCUCGAGGUCCGUGAGUUCGAGCCCCGCGUCGGGCUCUGGGCUGACAGCUCAGAGCCUGGAGCCUGCUUCUGAUUCUGUGUCUCCCUCUCUCUCUGCCCCUCCCCCAUUCAUGCUCUGUCUCUGUCUCUCAAAAAUAAAUAAACGUUAAAAAAAAUAAAAAAAAAAAGGGGACUGGAUAAUCAAGUGGUUAUAUUUUCAUACAAUGGAACAUUUUGUAGCUACUAAGAGUAAUAAGGCAGUGAUAAGUGUAUUGCCUGGGAGAUUUGAAAAAUGAGGUACAGGAUUGUGUGUGCAUGGCUACCACUUAUUUAAAAAGAAAUAUAUACACAUACUCAAAAUAUCUAUGGAAGGAUCCCAAGAAACCGGUAACAGUGGUUGUUUCUGGUUACAACUAAAAGGUGAUUGGGGAAUGGGAUGGGAGAGAGACAUGCUUUUACUGUAUACUCAUCUAUACCUUUUGAUAUGCUCCUUUUUAAAUAUAAAGAAGUUAGUUGUAGAAGUAUAGUAAAUGACAUGGAAAGAUGGUUGUAAUAUAUUGUUGCCUGAAUAAGCUGUUGACUGAAAGGAAUGUACAAUAGGGUUUCAGUUUUAUAAAUAAAUAAUUUUUAAGUGGCAUAUACAAAAAUAUAGUGGUUUUUUAGUGAUUUUUUGCCUAUCUGUAUUUAAGAUCUUGUAAAUAAUGUGCAUCUACCACCUUUGUAAUUAAAAUAUAUAAAUAAAAAUAAAAGAAGAAAUACAAUGAAAACUUUCCCUAGUACUCCCUGAAGCUAACCCUGCCAUGAAAUCUUUCCCCAUUUCAGCUGAAUGCCUCUUAUUUGCUUUCAUGUUACAUUUUUCAUACAUUCAUCACACCUUGAAUUGCAUUAUCACAUACACAUUUAUCUUACCUACUCUGUACAUUCUUUUAAAGGCCUGGAUCUUACCAGAUGCAUCCAGAUUCCCUGUCUAUGCCAAGAACAGAGUCUUUCUCAUAACAGGUGUGCAGUAAAUACUGAGUUGGUGCUUGAAGCAGAGAGCACAGUGAGUAAAGUGGUUGUGCAUUUUGUUGUUUUGUGAUGCAACCUGUAUUCAAUACUGUACCAGAUUCACUCUUUAGUUAUGCCGGGGCCCAUUAGGUGCAGUGCAAAGCAUGUGGGUGAAAGGCUUUCCUUUCUAAAAUGAUAUUGGUUGUCCCUAGAGAUCUCUGUCUCUACAUCUUAGAUUAGUUAGUGUGGUUUGGUUAUAGAAAUAUAUAUAGCAAAAAUGACAUAAAGUUGAAAAUAAAUUUAAGAUUAAUCAAAUUGCUGAUGACAUGGUUCUGCUGUUUUACAGGUGAGACACUCCUACCUGCUUGAUAUAUUUUUUAAAGAUUUAAAAAAAAAUGUUUAUUUACUUUUGAGAGAGAGAAACUGCAAGCGGGGGAGGGGCAGAGAGAGAAAGGGGGACAGAAGAUCCCAAACAGGCUCUGCACUGACAGCUGCUAGCCCAAUGUGGGGCUCGAACUCAUGAACCAGGAGAUCAUGACCUGAGCCAAAGUCUGACGCUUAACCGACUGAGCCACCCAGGUGCCCCUCUGCUUCGUAUUUUAAUUUAGAUCAGUUUGCUCCUAUUUUUCUCUCCAUAUUACUUUCCUUUCCCCAUUUGUGUCUUUUUGCUACAACGUCUCCUUGUACACAUAACUUUAGUUCUGUUAUGGUUAUAGGGGCCAGUUAUGCAUGAGAAGAGAUAGACUUGGGAGCUGAUAAUGUUACUUACAGCAGUUAAGAUUUUUUUUAAUUGAAAUUGCUUGAGAAUUGCUUUGAUGGCCUGGCUUCUCUUCAUGUCCCAGUUUUAUUGCUAGAUUUCUUGCCACUUUAUUGCCUUAUUCUCCAUUUUUCUUCCCUAUGUUGUAGUCACAGAGAUUUACUCAGUAUACCCCAAAAGUUCUUUCUAGGGCCUUUCCUCAAAACUUUUCUUACCGGGAGGUUCUCUGCAUAUGUCCAUUAAUUUAAGUACUACCUUCCCACAAAGAGCCAGUUCACAUGCCACCUCCUCAAAGAAGUCAUUACAGAUCCUCUUAGUCAAUUUCAAUAUACUCGUUCUUCCAUUAAAUCAUUAUACCCUCAUUAGAGUGCUAAUUAAAGUUUAUUUAUUAAUUUUUUCAUUGUGUACACAUUCAUUGAGUGUCUACUGUGCAUAAAUUGUUCUGGGAGCUAGGGUAAGAGACUGUUAAGACAGUUUUCAAGAAGCUUACAGAAUAGUGGGGGAGGCAUAUGAGCAGGAUAGUUUCAUUACAGUGUAAUAAGUACAGUGGGUGUGUGCAGGAUUCUGUGGGAGCCCAGAGAGGGAGCAUCUAAUGUAGCAGGGGUUGGGGAAUUCCAGAAAGAUUUGAGCUGGACAUUGGAGAAAUGGAGGUAGAGAAAGGAAUUUCCCAGACUAAUGGAACAGCACAUUGUAAGUCACUGAGAUGUGAAAUGUCUUGCAUAUUGAAGAAUAAGUAGCUCAGGCUGCAGUGUGGAUGGGGGAAGUGGCAGGAGAUGCAUUCAAGGAGGCAAGACAAUGGAAUCUUGAUGGACCUUUUGUGCCAAGCUAGGCACACGAGCUUUCUGAAAGCAGCAUAGAGCCCUUGAAGGACUUUAUGUAGGGGACAACUAAGUAAGCCUUGAGUUGUUUUUCUCGAUGGUACGAAUCAAGUCUUAUACAUCAUGGUAUCACCUUAGCACCUAAUACAGAGCUUGAUACUAGAGGCCAGUAAAAUUGAACUGGGUUUGCUGGGUACUGCUUUAAUUCUUUUCAAGAAUUAAUUUAUCUGAAAUAAUAACAGUAAUAGUGUUGAACACUUUUGCACUCUGUCAAAUCUGUAAGCAUUAUCUUACCUAAUCCUUACUACUCUCUAAGCAUAGGGGCUUAGAGCGUUUAAGUGAGGGGACCACCAUAAUAGUUAAGUCUGCUUAGGUUUGAAUUUCAGCUCUUCCAGUUACUAGUUUUGGACCUCAAAGUUACAUUUGUGCUUCAGUUUCCUCAUCUGUAAAAUUAUAAUGAUAAUAAUACCUCAUAGGGUAUUGUGAGGAGUAGUGAUACAUGUAAAAACAUGUAAAGCGGUUGGCCCUAUAGUUGCUAAGUGAUUACAUGCCCAAUAAAUAAUUAAUUUUUAGCUAUUAUUAAGAAACACACCCCAAAGUCACAGGCACAAUUAGCGGUAAAGCCCAAGAUGAACAAGGCAAUUUGACUUCAGAAUCUUUAAUUACUAUUUAUUCUAUGUUAUAACUGCUUCUGUGGUUAUAGUGAGAUGAGUAAAGAUGGGUUCCAAGCAGUGAAACAAAAUGAAGAAUUUUAGUCAACAUGGGAAAUACCAUUUGGGGUAGGGAGUUCUUAGGGGCUCUUCAAAUUACCCUCACUUAAAGAACUCUUCCUUUGAUACCUUGCCUGCACUUUAGAGACUUAUGUGAGAAGUAUAUCUCUGUAAUUUAGGUAGAUGAUGUUAAUUCCAGAUUCAUAGUUCACAUAGCUAUUGAACCUAAAGACUAUUUUAUAAAGGUCUCCCUCUAGGAGUUUGUCUGCUAGUGCUGGCACCCAGUAUACAAUGUCAAGUCUUGUAGCUCUGUUCCUUUUCUCCAUACUCCCUAGAUUUUUCCAACUUUAGGACCCAAGUGGGAGUCUUAUGUUGGAGGAUGUUGUGCAAACCACAUGCGUAAAGAAAAUAAUUUACAUUUUUCCUUUCUUAGCUUCUGGAACAUCAGUGAUUCCAUCCUCCCACUUCUAUUGGGCAGAAAUUGAGGUAUUCUCCUUAUGCUCCCUCAUCUUCUCCAAAAGGCACCACACACACACACACACACACACACACACACACACACACACUCCUUGCCAUACAUGUCAGAGGGACCCAGCAUAACUGCUUUUUUUCUGAUUCAAGGUCCUAAGAACAUACUAAGUCUUUGGUAAUAGAGGCUCCCGCCAGCAAUUCACUUUUUCUUCUCUGUUCUUACUCUUUCCAGUCAUAACUGUCUUUCAGCUUUCUUUUUUUUUCACCAAUUUAUCCCAUUAUCCCUUGCAUAGUGCUUGGUAUAUAGUAGGCAUGCAAUAAGUAGUUUUUGAAAGAAUAAAAGAAAGGCAGGAUGCAUUGUAUAUUCAAUACUUUAAUGAUAUUCAAUUACAGAAAAAUGUGCAAAAAUCUUGCCUUGCUUUAAGUUUCAUGGGAACAGAUUGGUGUUAGCAAGUAGGCCCCACCGUCACCUCCACUGCCACAUUAGAGCUCCCACAACUUCAGGAUUUAUCCCCCUGAGUAUAUGUAGUAAUGGGACUGAAUGGAUGCCUCACAAAUAGAGAUCUCCAGGUUUGGGGCAGGUCUGUCUCAUGAGCUUUGUUAUUUUUCCAAAUUCUUUUGCAAUUUCAUGACUUCAUAAUGGAAGAGUUUCCACAAAUUUAAGUCUGUAUGGAAAUUAAUAAGUCAUAGGAGACAUAUUGCUUACUGUUAGAAAAGGGUGGGGGAAAAUAGAAGAUAUCCAGGGCCUAUGGUUCAGAAUAAAUAACCUUCAUAAUUCUGGUGUCUAUAAGGACUCAAAUUUAUGUAGACAGUGGUGCUGAGACAAACCCUCUUUCACUGGUUUCCUAGGAAAACCGUUAGAGAUGUGAAAAAAGAGGCUUAAAUUUUAGGAGCUUAUGCUUGCCUGAAAGUCCAGACUCAUGUUUAGUCUGGGCCAUGAUGACACACCAGUAGACUAUCCAGACAUGUUCAAGGCUGUGAACCUGGUCAUUCAGGACUUUGUUUGACCUUGGAUCUCAUACAGUGUAUUGCAGUAUGCAGAAAUAGUGUGUCGAAAGAUGAAGAACAUCUCCUGAAGCCCAGGAAUGUCGUGUGUGUGUGUGUGUGUGUGUGUGUGUGUGUGUGUGUGUGUCUGUAUCUAUAACCUGGAGGUAAUCUCGAAGACUUCAAAUGAAAGUGAUACCCAGGCUUGAAUCUGGUGUGCUUCACGCACAAAUUUUGUUAACUGCUUGCUCUGUCUUCAAACCUCCUUAAAAAGGUUACUUUAAGGUUACUUUUCAUACCUCUAUAAGCAAUUAGAAAAAGAAGACCAAAUUAAACCCAAAGCAAGAAGAUUAAGAUAACAGCGGAAAUCAGCCAGAUAGAAAAGAGAUAGUUAAUAGAGAAAAUUGACAAAGCCAAAAGUCUGUCCUUUGAAAAGUAUAAUAAAAUUGAUGAACCUCUACCGUGAUUGAUAAGGAUAGAAAACAGAAAUUACCAACCUGAGGAAUGAAAGAAAUAUCACUAGAUCAUACUGACAUUAAAAGAAUAAUAAAAAAAUAAUAUGGAAAACAACAAUGUGGAAAUCUUAUACCAUUAAAUUCAACAAAUUAGAUGUUUUCAAAUUACUUUAAAUCAUAACUUACUAAAGCUAAUACAAGAUGGAAUAGAAAAUCUGAGUAACCCUUUAUCUACUUAAAAUUUUGAAUUUUUGAUUUAAAAAACCUUCCCGUGAAGAAAACUAUAGGUUCAGAUGAUCUCUCUGAGGAGUACUAUAAAACAUUUAAAGAAAAAACAAUAUGAAUGCUAAGCAAAUUUAGAAAAUAAAGGAGGAAGGAAUAUUUCUUAACUCAUUUUAUGAAGCAAGUAUUACCCGGAUACCAAACCUGAGAAAACUAUUUCAAAAAAAUGUUGCUGAUCAGUAUUUCUGUGAUUAUAGCCACUGCAAUAUAGUGAAUGUUUGUGUCCCUCCAAGAUUCAUGUGUUCAAAUCCUAACCUCCAGUGUGAUGGAGAAGUCAACAGUCUGCAGCCUGGAAGAGGACCCUUACCAUACACUGAAUCUGCUGGUGCCUUGAUCUUGGACUUCAUACCCUCCAGAAUUGUGAGAAAUAAAUGUUUGUUGUUUAAAGUCA